AGUCGAGCGGUAGAGAGAAGCUUGCUUCUCUUGAGAGCGGCGGACGGGUGAGUAAUGCCUAGGAAUCUGCCUGGUAGUGGGGGAUAACGUUCGGAAACGGACGCUAAUACCGCAUACGUCCUACGGGAGAAAGCAGGGGACCUUCGGGCCUUGCGCUAUCAGAUGAGCCUAGGUCGGAUUAGCUAGUUGGUGGGGUAAUGGCUCACCAAGGCGACGAUCCGUAACUGGUCUGAGAGGAUGAUCAGUCACACUGGAACUGAGACACGGUCCAGACUCCUACGGGAGGCAGCAGUGGGGAAUAUUGGACAAUGGGCGAAAGCCUGAUCCAGCCAUGCCGCGUGUGUGAAGAAGGUCUUCGGAUUGUAAAGCACUUUAAGUUGGGAGGAAGGGUUGUAGAUUAAUACUCUGCAAUUUUGACGUUACCGACAGAAUAAGCACCGGCUAACUCUGUGCCAGCAGCCGCGGUAAUACAGAGGGUGCAAGCGUUAAUCGGAAUUACUGGGCGUAAAGCGCGCGUAGGUGGUUUGUUAAGUUGGAUGUGAAAUCCCCGGGCUCAACCUGGGAACUGCAUUCAAAACUGACUGACUAGAGUAUGGUAGAGGGUGGUGGAA
rnacentral:rRNA from 1 species